GAAACACUAUACAGCAGGUACACACAGGAAACACUAUACAGCAGGUACACACAGGAAACACUAUACAGCAGGUACACACAGGAAACACCACACAGCAGGUACACACAGGAAACACUAUACAGCAGGUACACACAGGAAACACUAUACAGCAGGUACACACAGGAAACACUAUACAGCAGGUACACACAGGAAACACCACACAGCAGGUACACACAGGAAACACUACACAGCAGGUACACACAGGAAACACCACACAGCAGGUACACACAGGAAACAUUAUACAGCAGGUACACACAGGAAACAUUAUACAGCAGGUAACACAGGAAACACCAUACAGCAGGUAACACAGGAAACAUUAUACAGCAGGUAACACAGGAAACACUACACAGCAGGUACACACAGGAAACACUAUACAGCAGGUACACACAGGAAACACUAUACAGCAGGUACACACAGGAAACAUUAUACAGCAGGUACACACAGGAAACACUAUACAGCAGGUACACACAGGAAACAUUAUACAGCAGGUACACACAGGAAACACUAUACAGCAGGUAACACAGGAAACAUUAUACAGCAGGUAACACAGGAAACACUACACAGCAGGUACACACAGGAAACACUAUACAGCAGGUACACACAGGAAACAUUAUACAGCAGGUACACACAGGAAACAUUAUACAGCAGGUAACACAGGAAACACCACACAGCAGGUACACACAGGAAACAUUAUACAGCAGGUAACACAGGAAACACCACACAGCAGGUACACAAAGGAAACACCACACAGCAGGUACACACAGGAAACACCACACAGCAGGUACACACAGGAAACACCAUACAGCAGGUAACACAGGAAACACUACACAGCAGGUACACAAGGAAG